AACGAACGCUGGCGGCAGGCCUAACACAUGCAAGUCGAACGUGAAGCAGGAGCUUGCUCCUGUGGAAAGUGGCAGACGGGUGAGUAACGCGUGGGAAUUUACCCAGCUCUACGGAAUAACGCAGGGAAACUUGUGCUAAUACCGUAUACGUCCUCCGGGAGAAAGAUUUAUCGGAGUUGGAUGAGCCCGCGUUAGAUUAGUUUGUUGGUGGGGUAACGGCCUACCAAGACUACGAUCUAUAGCUGGUCUGAGAGGAUGAUCAGCCACACUGGGACUGAGACACGGCCCAGACUCCUACGGGGAGGCAGCAGUGGGGGGAAUAUUGCACAAUGGGCGCAAGCCUGAUGCAGCCAUGCCGCGUGAGUGAAGAAGGCCUUAGGGUUGUAAAACUCUUUCAUCGGUGAAGAUAAUGACGGUAGCCGAAGAAGAAGCCCCGGCUAACUCCGUGCCAGCAGCCGCGGUAAU
rnacentral:rRNA from 1 species